GUAUGUGCCGCAACGAUAGCGUCAGCCUGGGAGCGCAGCCGAAGCGUGCGGCCCCAAGGAGCCCGGCCCUCUUAGGAGAUGCCAACUAAGAGACAACGGCCUGGUAACGGCUGGAACUUCCCAGAUGGCGAGGUGGCCUUCUUUCACACCUGAUGCAGAUUUGCAUCCCCGGACAGCCGAGAGACGCAGAUCGAUUAUAUCUGUGGCGGAGCGCUCCAUACCAGGUGGUAAAGCCGGAUCUUAGCAGUCAGUGUCGAGUGAGCGAGGCGGUCCACUUGCAUUACGCCGAACCCCCUCGCA